UUCUUUCUCUGUUAGUGCUUCCAGAUUUACAGAUGGGACUAUUCUGAUGCACUUAUAUUUUUUUUUUAAUAUAAUUCUAGGUAUAAGACAUACAUGGCUCCUGGUUCCUCAAAUAAGAAGAAAACUGAUGAUGGACAGGCUUCAAAAGAGAAUUUUAUUCAUCUCUGCAACCCUCACCUGGAGAAAAUGAAAGAAGACAUCCUGUACCAUUUUGCUCUUGGGACCGGUACCCAUGAUUUUCCAACAUUGUUUGGGGAUGUAAAGUUUGUGUGUGUUGGAGGAAGCCCUUCCAGGAUGAAAGCUUUCAUUGCCUACAUAGCAGAGGAGCUGGGGCUCGGGAGCCCCGGGUGUGACUACCCCAACAUCUGCGCGGGCACUGACCGCUACGCCAUGUACAAAGUGGGGCCCGUGCUGUCUGUCAGCCAUGGCAUGGGCAUUCCUUCUAUUUCAAUCAUGUUGCACGAGCUGAUCAAACUGUUGUAUCAUGCAAAGUGUUCCGACAUAACCAUCAUUCGCAUUGGCACCUCUGGUGGAAUAGGUCUGGAGCCAGGCUCAGUGGUUAUAACUAGGCAGUCUGUAGAUGCCACCUUCAAGCCUCAGCUGGAACAGGUUGUUCUGGGAAAGACAGUAAUUCGCAGCACCAACCUCGAUGAACAGCUGGCUAAGGAGCUGAUGCAGUGCAGUAAAGAAAUUGGUCAGUUCAAUACAGUCAUUGGAAACACCAUGUGCACUUUGGAUUUUUAUGAAGGACAGGGCAGGUUGGAUGGUGCAAUCUGCUUAUAUGAUGAGGAAGAAAAGCUGCAAUAUUUGAAGAAUGCUUAUGAGUCUGGCGUGAGAAACAUCGAGAUGGAGUCUUCUGUAUUUGCUGCAAUGUGUAAUCUCAGUGGUGUCAAAGCUGCUGUAGUGUGUGUCACUCUUCUGAAUCGACUCGAAGGGGAUCAGAUCAGCAGCCCACAUGAUGUCCUUGUGGAGUACCAGCAGAGGCCACAGAAGUUAGUGGGAUAUUUCAUUAAGAAAAGUCUUGGGAAAGUAUGAAAUAUCCAUCUCGUGUUUUAGAGCAGGAGAAGGCCUUUGUACAGAUCUGGUUAUGCCUUCAGUGCAUUGCAGGUCUUUUCCCUCAGAGUAACUUACAGCAUUCCGUGUGUCAGUGGAAGUUAAUCAUUUAUGUCACUGCUCUUUGGGAACUGAAUAUGCUGAAGGACUUCACUUAAGGUUUGCUUAGUUAUGCAUUGCUGGAUAGAAAACUCACUUUUCUGCGAAUUGGAAAGUGGAUCUGUUGUGAAGGACAAGUCUGUGAUAAUACAUGAAAAAGCUUUAUUUUUCUCUGCUGUAAAGGAAAAACUAGAGAGAUGAUCAAACUUUAUGGCCAAGUACAUGCAUACCAGCAAAUUAACUUAAAAAUUUGAAUAAUUUUCUUGUUGUUAUAAAAAAUUAAAUAAGUUAUAAUUGUCUUUGUUUCUUCACUUGUAAAUAAAACUUAAAGUGAAUGCA
rnacentral:lncRNA from 1 species